rnacentral:rRNA from 1 species
UCUAGAGUNUCGGAGAGGAAAGUGGAAUUCCUAGUGUAGCGGUGAAAUGCGUAGAUAUUAGGAAGAACACCAGUGGCGAAGGCGACUUUCUGGACGAAAACUGACGCUGAGGCGCGAAAGCCAGGGGAGCGAACGGGAUUAGAUACCCCGGUAGUCCUGGCCGUAAACGAUGGGUACUAGGUGUAGGAGGUAUCGACCCCUUCUGUGCCGGAGUUAACGCAAUAAGUACCCCGCCUGGGGAGUACGACCGCAAGGUUGAAACUCAAAGGAAUUGACGGGGGCCCGCACAAGCGGUGGAGUAUGUGGUUUAAUUCGACGCAACGCGAAGAACCUUACCAGGUCUUGACAUUGAUGGACAGAACUAGAGAUAGUUCCUCUUCUUCGGAAGCCAGAAAACAGGUGGUGCACGGUUGUCGUCAGCUCGUGUCGUGAGAUGUUGGGUUAAGUCCCGCAACGAGCGCGACCCCUAUCUUAUGUUGCCAGCACUUUGGGUGGGGACUCAUGAGAGACUGCCGCAGACAAUGCGGAGGAAGGCGGGGAUGACGUCAAAUCAUCAUGCCCCUUAUGACCUGGGCUACACACGUACUACAAUGGGAGUUAAUAGACGGAAGCGAGAUCGCGAGAUGGAGCAAACCCGAGAAACACUCUCUCAGUUCGGAUCGUAGGCUGCAACUCGCCUACGUGAAGUCGGAAUCGCUAGUAAUCGCAGGUCAGCAUACUGCGGUGAAUACGUUCCCGGGCCUUGUACACACC